rnacentral:rRNA from 1 species
AGGACGAACGCUGGCGGCGCGCCUAAAACAUGCAAGUCGAACGAGAAGCCCGGGCUUGCCCGGGUGGACAGUGGCGAACGGGUGAGUAACACGUGAGGAACCUGCCCCGAAGACCGGGACAACACCGGGAAACCGGUGCUAAUACCGGAUACCUUCACCGGAUCGCAUGGUCUGGUGAAGAAAUGGAUUCCGCUUCGGGAUGGCCUCGCGGCCUAUCAGCUUGUUGGUGAGGUAACGGCUCACCAAGGCAACGACGGGUAGCUGGUCUGAGAGGAUGUCCAGCCACACUGGGACUGAGACACGGCCCAGACUCCUACGGGAGGCAGCAGUUAGGAAUCUUGCGCAAUGGACGAAAGUCUGACGCAGCGACGCCGCGUGCGGGAUGAAGGCCUUCGGGUUGUAAACCGCUUUCAGCAGGGACGAAUUGACGGUACCUGCAGAAGAACGCCCCGGCCAACUACGUGCCAGCCAGCCGC